UCCAGGCAUACUGAUGGCAGGAGC
rnacentral:piRNA from 1 species